rnacentral:rRNA from 1 species
AUACAGAGGGUGCGAGCGUUAAUCGGAUUUACUGGGCGUAAAGCGCGCGUAGGGGGCUAAUUAAGUCAAAUGUGAAAUCCCCGAGCUUAACUUGGGAAUUGCAUUCGAUACUGGUUGGCUAGAGUAUGGGAGAGGAUGGUAGAAUUCCAGGUGUAGCGGUGAAAUGCGUAGAGAUCUGGAGGAAUACCGAUGGCGAAGGCAGCCAUCUGGCCUAAUACGGACACUGAGGUGCGAAAGCAUGGGGAGCAAACAGGAUUAGAUCCCCUGGUAGUCCAUGCCGUAAACGAUGCCUACUAGCCGUUGGGGGAUUUGAUCCUUUAGUGGCGCAGCUAACGCGAUAAGUAGACCGCCUGGGGAGUACGGUCGCAAGACUAAAACUCAAAUGAAUUGACGGGG